UACAGAGGCCCCAAGCGUUACUGAGAAUCACUGGGUUUAAAGGGUGCGUAGGUGGUCCGUUAAGUUCGUUGUGAAAUCCCUGGGCUCAACCCAGGAAAUGCUUCGAAUACUGGCGGACUUGAGGCUAGUAGAGGUCACUGGAACUGACGGUGGAGCGGUGAAAUGCGUAGAUAUCGUCAGGAACGCCGGUGGUGAAGACGGGUGACUGGGCUAGUUCUGACACUGAGGCACGAAAGCGUGGGGAGCGAACGGG
rnacentral:rRNA from 1 species